rnacentral:rRNA from 1 species
UACGUAGGGGGCGAGCGUUGUCCGGAUUUAUUGGGCGUAAAGAGCGUGUAGGCGGUUCGGUAAGUCUGUCGUGAAAUCCUGAGGCUCAACCUCGGGCGUGCGAUGGAUACUGCCGGGCUAGAGGGUGGUAGAGGCGAGUGGAAUUCCCGGUGUAGUGGUGGAAUGCGUAGAUACCGGGAGGAACACCAGUGGCGAAGGCGGUUACUUGGAGCUUUGCUGACGCUGAUGCGCGAAAGCGUGGGGAGCGAUCCGG